CCGUGCAGCCGGGGAGUUAGCGGUGCCCUGUACCUGCAAUCCGCUAUAGCAGGGGUGUUGUCCUGCCCCGGGACAAUUCUUUCGGAGCUGCCCUUUAUAAGUGGCGUUGACGUCUUGGUCUUACGCAACAGGAACUUGUGAACCGUGUCAGGUCGGGAACGAAGCAGCACUAAGCAAAACUUUCUGUGUGCCGUGAGGGUGCCUGGACUGAGCUAACUGUAAAGGUAACGUCCAUUAAGAUUGUUUCAAAGCGGGACGCACGG
rnacentral:SRP_RNA from 1 species